rnacentral:rRNA from 1 species
CCUACGUGUGGCAGCAGUGGGGAAUAUUGGGCAAUGGGCGCAAGCCUGACCCAGCAACGCCGCGUGAAGGAAGAAGGCUUUCGGGUUGUAAACUUCUUUUGUCAGGGAAGAGUAGAAGACGGUACCUGACGAAUAAGCCACGGCUAACUACGUGCCAGCAGCCGCGGUAAUACGUAGGUGGCAAGCGUUGUCCGGAUUUACUGGUGGUAAAGGGCGUGUAGCCGGGUUGACAAGUCAGUUGUGAAAUCCUGCGGCUUAACCGCAGAACUGCAUUUGAAACUGUUGAUCUUGAGUACUGGAGAGGCAGACGGAAUUCCUAGUGUAGCGGUGAAAUGCGUAGAUAUUAGGAGGAACACCAGUGGUGAAGGCGGUCUGCUGGACAGCAACUGACGGUGAGGCGCGAAAGCGUGGGGAGCAAACAGGAUUAGAUACCCCAGUAGUC